UACGGAGGAUGCGAGCGUUAUCCGGAUUUAUUGGGCUUAAAGGGUGCGUAGGCGGCCUGCCAAGUCAGCGGUAAAAUUGCGGGGCUCAACCCCGUACAGCCGUUGAAACUGCCGGGCUCGAGUGGGCGAGAAGUAUGCGGAAUGCGUGGUGUAGCGGUGAAAUGCAUAGAUAUCACGCAGAACCCCGAUUGCGAAGGCAGCAUACCGGCGCCCUACUGACGCUGAGGCACGAAAGUGCGGGGAUCAAACAGG
rnacentral:rRNA from 1 species